AUGUUGAGGAGCAAGUAUCGAUCCAAUGGAAAUUACAGACAGCUCUAUCGAGCCUUUUCUCAGAAUGCUUACGGCCCAGGGGUGCUUACUUGGCCACUCUUAACAAAACAACUUGUUGGUGUGGCAACAGUUGAACCUAUUGAUGAUUUCAUUAUGAAUUCUUUCCUUGGUCUACCAACUGAGUGUCUUGCUGAAUUAAAUGCUGUCAUCUUCAUUUCUUCUACAUCAUAA